GCUAAAGAGGGAGCCUUUUCAUUUUGAGGGGAAUGUUGUCUGGCUCGGGGCUACUUUUAAUUUCUCUCUCUUUUGAUAUCUUCUUUUCUCGAUCUCCUAGCUUGAUCUUUUGAUCUCUCAAAUCGAUCUUAAGAAAAAGAUCAGUCAAAGAGAUGAGAGUAGAUGUCUGUAGAUCUCGGACCAGGCUUCAUUCCCCCCAAACAGAAGGGCUCCCAUGCAU
rnacentral:pre_miRNA from 1 species